AGACUUAUUUUUAAAAGAAGAUUCUACAGCUUUGCUGUUCUUAUGUUUUAGUGAGGGACUACCUUUCCAGAAUCUUUCCAGAUGAGUUUCAGUCUGGAAUCUGACCUGUCCAGUAAUAACUUCAGCUGAUAUCAUAACAUCACGCAGCAGUUAACAACAUGUACAAGAUACUGAUAUAACAACAAAAUUGCAAGUUGUGCAUGGUUCUGACAUGGCCAGUAUAUGCCAAAAAUUCUUUGCAAAUGGUUGUGAGGUGUAGUUCAUACUAAUUGGUAGACAGGCCAUAUUCCAAAAUUACUUCCCAUAUGAUGUGAUGAUCGUCCUGACUCAUGGGAAAUAGUUAUUAGCUCUACUUUCUCUACCUACACACGCCACAUACAGGCAGGAAAGCAUUUACCAAAGACAAAUUGUGAGAACAAAUUUGGAGGGCAUUAAGACAUCUCAUAAGACUGGGCAGAAAACAGUUCUGGUGACUUGGGUUGUCACAAAAGAAUGGACAUUGGGAAUGGCGACAUCCAGGAAACCUUGUAGGGCCUGAUAGGAAAACUAAAUAAUUCAUAGGAAUCAGACUAUAUUAGCACAUUCUUCACAAGUAAUGCGACUGAAUUACAAAUUUUAAAAUGCAGAGAAUAUGGGAGAAUGUGGUAAUGAUGAGCUGCCUUAUGCCUCGCAGAGCCAUAUAUUCUGUGAAUUAGGGCCAGGGGAGCAGGAUCUGACAGUUCAGGGAGUAGGUGACCUCCUUCCAAAAGCCUCCUUGCCACACAGUUUGAAGACACAUUGUUAUGAUAGAUGUGAGGGCUCAGGAGUUCCUUAAAUAAUAUUGUUAUCUCUCUGACAUUGCUCACAGAUUAUUUGCCCAAGUAUCCGACAUGGAGACUACCAUGGCUGGAGUCCUUGUGGCCUUGGUAUGGAGACAACACAGAAUGCAACAAAUAUUAUUUGUUCAUCAGCAAGCCCAGCACGAACAGCAAAUCCCAAUGGCUACUGCAACGCCUCCAAAGGGAGAAGCAGUCAAUGAAAAUCCACCAAGGUGGUGCAUUUGCAGGCCUCACCAUCAUUUUGUUCAACAGCCUGAAGCAGAGGGCACUUACCAAUGAAGGAUGUCCUGGGCCAUCAUCAUUGAACUGUGUCAUCUGCAGGAGCAAUGAUCAGAACAACUGGCUGGCAAUCCCAUCCUGAUGGCUGUCAAGGUCACAGGUGUCCUGAUAUUUUAUGACAAUGGCUUGCUUUAAGGAGUACCAGGGGACUAAUGCGGCAUCUCUCAAUCCUUGACCUAUAAGUGCACCCUGUAUGUCACUGAUGUCAUUUUCUCCAGGCACACAGCUCUUCAUUUUCUUUCCUUGGACAAGAAGAGGUCAAGCAGCCAGGAUGGUGGGACUGUCCAUCAUUGCUGGCUUUCCCCAGCCCUACAAUCUUGGAAUCAAAAACACGUAUAAUGGCUUCACCCCAUAUCCUUCUGAUUCAGAAAACCAGGACAGCGAAGACUCCUCCACAGCUUCAUAUAGACCAAUCAUCCCCUCAUUCCUAACCCAACCAUGUUGAUGAGUAAGCAAAGAAGUUACUGAAGAAGUGUGAAUUCAUAGGAGCUUCCAAGAAGAAAUCUACAGGACCAAGUUUAUGCCUUUGUAUCUGGGCAGGUUUGAGUCGUACCUUUUCCUAAUUUUUGAUUAAUAUUGUGACACACUCUGAAAAGCGCAUGAAUUCUUGAGCUGCAUUACUACGAAGCUCAGCACAAAAAGUUAAUGAUUUCAUCAAAGUACAGACAAAUUCUCCAAUUUACCUGUCAGAUCAAAUUAGGUUAAGAGAAAACACUGCCAAUUUUCCCAUCCUUAACAAGAACUGCUGAUUAUUACAAAUAAAUAAGUUCGAGCCGUAGUUAAACAAAACUGCGAACUCGCAACAUAUACCUCCAUUUGUUGAAAUCCUAACCUUUUUAAAAUGCAAAACCGCACUAAGAGACUGAAUGAAGUGUAUAUUUUCUGAAGACAUCUUUGGAGAAGAAUUUGUUUGAGUGACAACUAGGCAGUAAUUUGCAUGGAUUUCUUUGAAACAGGCCAGACAAUUUUCUAUUCUCUUACAAAAUAACCCUACAGUCUGCAACAGGUUGCUCACCUUAUGAGUUAAUGUUUAAACAUGCUCCUUGGCAAGUUUCAGUUUGUUUAUGCCUGAUGUCAGUGCCAAAAGUAAGAAAAAAACAAGACAAGGUGAAGAUGUAUCUUGACACUCAAGUCUUGAAACUUAUAAGUUCAAUGCUGAUCAAAUGAUUAUGGUGACAAACAAUAUUGCGAUGAUGAGGAGACUGUGUGAUUGGAGUUUUUGUAAAGAGAUAAGUUGUAUUUACAUAUCUGCUGAAGAUUGGAACAAAGGUCUGUCAGUGUUGCAUAGAUAAUUGUUUUAAAGGGACAAAGAGAGUGUAUAAUACACCUUCCAUAUCUAAAUUCUUCCUACAAACCAAAGUUAAAGCCAGGAAGAAAGGAAGCUACAAAUAAUUUUAUUUUUCUUUCGAUAAUACAAAAUCCAGCAGGAGGGAAAAUCAAUUGAUGUCUUUGUUGAGACAAAUAAUUGAAUGCCACACUACUAAAUGGAGUUGGUAGUCAAAGUUCAGGGUUAUAGAGUCAGAUAUUGCAAGAACACAGUCACUUGAGUGGAAAUGGAAGAAGAUAUCCAGAUAAAAGGUGAAAGAGGUCAGAAAGGUUAACUGAAAGUAUGUUGGAAGAUAGAGAAAAAAUUGUUUUUUGCAGCACUUCUGGUCAAAUGCAAUACCUGAGUGAAAAACCCACUGCCAGUCCUGUAUGGGUGCCCAAAUUAAAUCCCCAGUCAGAUCCUGGAGGCAUAUUUUAAGAAUGACCUUACUGGAUUUGGGGAAGUAACUUUGCUGUUUGCUAAGGAGCAGUGAUAAUAAUUCAAAUUUGCUUCAGGGGCUCAAUUCAGUCAAAUAACUUGUCAUUUUAAUUGAAUAGCAGUACAGUUUUCAAUAAGUGGGUUAGGUAAAAAUUUUCCCAAGUGUCCACUCAUGCUCCAAGUUGUGCUAUGAAAAUGGGCACCCUACCCCAUACAUUUUACUGUUUUUCUCUCUGAAAUUCUUGAUUGCUGCAUACCGAUAUUCUCCAUUAUUGGCAAAAUCAGAUCAGGGACAAGAAUCUGUUGCUGCUCAAUUUGAGCUACCAUUGAGCUGAUACCUAUUAAGUGGCAGAUUGGUAUUUGCAGUAAACGUUUGAUUCUCUGAAUAAAUAAUAGCUUUGUUCCUUCUGUAUUUUUUGCAGAGUGCUGUUGAUCUUUUACAGUUAGUGAUGGAAACGAUGUUUAGUACUUCAAAAGGUGGUGUGGGGAAAGAACCACAAGUUCCUUUGGCGGCUGCUUAAGUUAUUUACCUGACCCUUCCCUGAGCCACUAAGAAGUGUUAACAAGCUAACCAGUUGCAAUAUAUCCCUUUUGUUCCCUUUACAUCAUCCUACCUAGACUAAAAAGUGAAGAACCAUGAUCUGACAUUCCUGAUGUAGGGCUUAUGUAGAGCUCCUCGGAUGCUGCCUGACCUGCUGUGCUUUUCCAGCAUCACACUCUCGACUCUGACUCUCCAUCAUCUGCAGUCCUCACUUUCUCUAAGUACCAUAAUCUGACAAAUACCUCCCUGUUAUUUCUGCACUAUCAAUUCUCACAUAUGCACUUGCCUGCCCAUUCUACACUGAUGCUUGACAUUUCAGCACCACCCACAGCAGAUUGCGUGGGUAACCAGAAUUCUUCCUUGGAUGCUGCUGUCAAUAUGGUCAUAUUCCUGCAGCACAAAUUUAUUUAUGAUGUAGGGAGCUAGUUGGCUCAGUUGGCUAGACAACUCAUAUGUGGCUCAGAAUUACAACAACUUUGCAGAUUUAAUUCCAAGUGAGGUUGACCUGCCUGCUCAUUCUACCCAUGAAAGUGGAAGGCAGUCACAAACAAGCCACUACUCACGAAAACUCAGAAUGAAGCAUUAGCAGACAAUAAGCCAAGGAAUUGCCUUCUGAUAGAGGAUACACAUCAUGACAAAGUAUCUUUCACUGCUCUCAUCCCCUUAAUGGUUAGUGCCUUGAAAGGUCCAGGCUCUCUCUCUAGCUCAGAAACUUCAUGUAAAGUGCUUGUGAAUUCUUACCUAAGUUAGCUCCUGGAUAAUACCAGGGGCCAAACAUUCUCUAAAUAUAUGGAGGUAGUCUUUUAUUCAUGUUCUUAUUAAAGUAACACUACAGUCUAAUUAAUGUACACAAUGGAGCAAUUUUUAUGAUAAAACUUCACAAGGAUCAUGAAUUCUGUUUUCCUCUUUUACUCCCCUAGAACUAUUACCCUUUAUUAAAAUCUGAACUUUAAAAAAAAAGGUAUGUUCUCUGGAUUUUGAAAUUAAUUAUUCAAAUAAAAUCAUAUUGACUUCAAAUUUAAAUU